UUAUGGGUUUUUAAUUACACAAAUCAGGCCCACAUAUCGCCUUGGUUGCUCCGUCGCUUCUCUUCGAUGUUCUCCUUCUCUGUUUCCGCCUGGAAUGAAGUUUAAGCUUGUCUGCUCAUCUAUGGCUUCUUCCUUCUCCUCUCUGAAAGGGUUCAUCUAUGGCUUAUGUUUUCCUUGGGGCUUUUGGUGACACUUUUCACGUUCUCAUUCGUUGAAGUUUUAAAUCGUUUUGGGGGUUUCCAUUGAAGCGUGAAGAUGACAAGUAUUCAACCUCUGCUACAAAAAUCAGAGUCUAUAGACGAUGUUCCUGCCGAAUUUGAGCGAGGUUUCGAUUCAUGCGCGGGCACUUAGACGAAUGCAUCUCUUUUGGUUCUAUUCACACCCAAGAAGACGAGGACGAUGAUAAUGAUCAACUUGUGAGGAGGAGACGAAGGUGAAAACGUGGCUGAAUCAUCUAGAAGGCGCCAAUCUUAGAUUCUCAGCCGUUGGGCUGCAAGGCAGGCUCAGGAGAUGAUUACCACCAUUGAGCAGGGGAACCGUGAAUCUGAGUUGAUCGCGUUGGCUGGUUUGCAAACCGUCUACAUGCUUGAUUCAUCUUUCCUUAGGGAGUCUCAGUCCACGUCUUCGAGGCGUCAAGGUGCUGCUACUGAGAGGCCUAGGACUCAAGCGUUUGGGAUCCUGUGAAUGUGGAGGGAGUUGGAAGAUGAGCAUGUGCUUAGAAGGGCACGUGAAAGGUUGAGGCAUCAGAGGAGUGUUGAGUCUAAUACUUCUAUUGUGAAUGUGGAUUUAGCUCUAUUGCUUUGGAGAACAAUGAUUAGGGAUCUUAGUCACAUGAUCAGAAUGAGCAUUGGGGUAACAAUUCUUCUAGAUUUUUCAUAAUUUUCAGGAUUCCAUGAUGUGUAAGUGUAUCGAUCCAAAGGUACCUGCACGGUCUGAACUGCAGUUUUUUGGAGUCAAUGGUUCCGGAGUGUCCCCCUGGUGAGAAGGAUGUAUUUGAUAUAAGAAGCUUUAUCAGGCGACUUCAUUGAGGUUGUUUUUUUCUUGAAAAAAAACAUAUUAUAUAGUUGGAUGUGUAACUGAUACUUUUGCAACUCUUUGUACGAUUGAAACGA